UACAGAGACUGCAAGCGUUAUUCGGAUUCACUGGGCGUAAAGAGUGCGUAGGCGGUUUUCUAAGUUUGGUGUGAAAUCUCCCGGCUCAACUGGGAGGGUGCGCCGAAGACUGGAAGGCUUGAGUAUGGGAGAGGUAAGCGGAAUUCCUGGUGUAGCGGUGAAAUGCGUAGAUAUCAGGAGGAACACCUGCGGUGUAGACGGCUUACUGGACCAUAACUGACGCUGAGGCACGAAAGCGUGGGUAGCAAACAGG
rnacentral:rRNA from 1 species